GAUGAACGCUGGCGGCGUGCCUAAUACAUGCAAGUCGAGCGAACAGACGAGGAGCUUGCUCCUCUGACGUUAGCGGCGGACGGGUGAGUAACACGUGGAUAACCUACCUAUAAGACUGGGAUAACUUCGGGAAACCGGAGCUAAUACCGGAUAACAUGUUGAACCGCAUGGUUCGACAGUGAAAGACGGUCUUGCUGUCACUUAUAGAUGGAUCCGCGCCGCAUUAGCUAGUUGGUAAGGUAACGGCUUACCAAGGCAACGAUGCGUAGCCGACCUGAGAGGGUGAUCGGCCACACUGGAACUGAGACACGGUCCAGACUCCUACGGGAGGCAGCAGUAGGGAAUCUUCCGCAAUGGGCGAAAGCCUGACGGAGCAACGCCGCGUGAGUGAAGAAGGUCUUCGGAUCGUAAAUCUCUGUUAUUAGGGAAGAACAAAUGUGUAAGUAACUAUGCACGUCUUGACGGUACCUAAUCAGAAAGCCACGGCUAACUACGUG
rnacentral:rRNA from 1 species